AAUUAAUAUGCUCCCUCCAAAAAGGGUCAAUUAUUUUCUAUAGCUCUGAGUGAUGGGAAAUUUUAAAGAUAUUUCCAACUGAACAUAUCUUGGGCUCUUCCAAUUUCAACUGUCUCAGUUUACAUGCUUCUUCUAUUGAAAGUUCCACUUCCUAUCAAGGGUGCAUUACAUGGUCUCAUUAGAUAAACAUUCAGUCUUCUGAAGUUGACAUUCCCUCCUCAAAAUGGUGAUUGGAUAUA
rnacentral:lncRNA from 1 species